AUUGAACGCUGGCGGCAGGCCUAACACAUGCAAGUCGAACGAGUGGCGGACGGGUGAGUAAUGUCUGGGAAACUGCCCGAUGGCGGGGGAUAACUACUGGAAAGGGUAGCUAAUACCGCAUACCAUCAGAUGUGCCCAGAUGGGAUUAGCUUGUUGGUGGGGUAACGGCUCACCAAGGCGACGAUCCCUAGCUGGUAUGAGAGGAUGACCAGCCACACUGGAACUGAGACACGGUCCAGACUCCUACGGGAGGCAGCAGUGGGGAAUAUUGCACAAUGGGGGCAAGCCUGAUGCAGCCAUGCCGCGUGUAUGAAGAAGGCCUUAGGGUUGUAAAGUACUUUCAGCGGGGAGGCGUUACCCGCAGAAGAAGCACCGGCUAACUCCGUGCCAGCAGCCGCGGUAAUAC
rnacentral:rRNA from 1 species